rfam:Mesocricetus auratus contig094833, whole genome shotgun sequence.
AAACAGACUUUUUUAAAAGUCACUACUCAUUAAAUUUAAGUAGGAU